UACGAAGGGGGCUAGCGUUGCUCGGAAUUACUGGGCAUAAAGGGCGCGUAGGCGGACAUUUAAGUCAGGGGUGAAAUCCCAGAGCUCAACUCUGGAACUGCCUUUGAUACUGGGUGUCUUGAGUGUGAGAGAGGUAUGUGGAACUCCGAGUGUAGAGGUGAAAUUCGUAGAUAUUCGGAAGAACACCAGUGGCGAAGGCGACAUACUGGCUCAUUACUGACGCUGAGGCGCGAAAGCGUGGGGAGCAAACAGG
rnacentral:rRNA from 1 species